CUACGGGGGGCUCCAGUGGGGAAUAUUGGACAAUGGGGGAAACCCUGAUCCAGCAAUGCCGCGUGUGUGAAGAAGGCCUGCGGGUUGUAAAGCACUUUCGGUUGGGAGGACUGCUUCUAGCACUAAUAUUGUUGGAAGUUGACGUUACCUUCAGAAGAAGCACCGGCUAACUCCGUGCCGGCAGCCGGGGUAAUACGGAGGGUGCAAGCGUUAAUCGGAAUUACUGGGCGUAAAGCGCGCGUAGGCGGCUAGUUCAGUCGGGUGUGAAAGCCCCGGGCUUAACCUGGGAACUGCAUCCGAUACUGUCUAGCUUGAGUACAGGAGAGGAGAGUGGAAUUCCACAUGUAGCGGUGAAAUGCGUAGAUAUGUGGAGGAACACCAAUGGCGAAGGCAGCUCUCUGGCCUGAUACUGACGCUGAGGUGCGAAAGCGUGGGGAGCAAACAGGAUUAGAUACCCCGGUAGUC
rnacentral:rRNA from 1 species